CCUGACUGGAGGCUUUUCUCUUUCUGUUCAGAGCCACCGGAGCUGAAGGAGACAGUGGAGGCUGGAGAGGACGCCACUCUUCAGUGUCAGAGUCACGGAGGUGCUGAGAUCACAGUGAUAGAGUGGAUCAGAACUGACCUGAAGUCAGAUGAUUUUGUCUUCUACCUCAGCCCUGAUCAAACAAACGGAGAGUACCAGAAUUCAUUGUUUGAGGGUCGAGUGGAGCUUCAAGAUCCAGAGAUGAAGAACGGAGACGCUUCUGUGAUUCUGAAGAACGUCAACAUCAAGGACACUGGAACAUAUGAGUGUUGGAUUGGAGUGAAAAACAACACAAGACGCAGAAAGAGAGACGCAACUGAACCCAUCAGCACCAUCAAGCUGACAGUGACAGAGCCAGGUCACACAGCUGGACACAAGGAGGGAGGAGACAAGGAGGGAGGAGACAAGGAGGGAGGAGGCCAGGAGAGAAAUGUUGUCGGCCUGACAGUUUCUGUGCUUCUUGUUGCUGUUGUUGUUGCUGGAAUGAUGGUCUUAAAAAAACUCAGAGAAAAAACAACUCAAACAGCAGGAGAGACGAACCCAAAAUCAACAUCAUCAUUAAUCUGACAGUGACAGAUCCAGGUCACACAGCUGGACACAAGGAGGGAAGAGACAAGGAGGGAAUGUUUCACAGACAGGUGGUGUGUUCGCUCUUCAUAGUGCUGGUUUUAUGAUCUUUAAAAAACAAAGCAUGCACUGAGCAUAAUUCAAGAAAAAAUCUGUAAUGAUCUUUAUUCCUUAAAAUGGUGACGGCACUGGCCAUGCUCCUUAUAACUUUCUCUUGACUUCUGUACUUUGCAAAUAAAAAAGUCUAGGUGACGCAGUCCAACUCUAAAAUCCAUCCAUGAUAGUACUUUACUUUAGACUGCUGCGUUUAGGCGCAGCAACGCAGCAGCGUGUGUGAGUGUGUGUUGGAGAGAGAUGCACACAAAGAACUGUCAAAUUUAAUAUGGGAAAAAAUUGAUUUAAGGAAGUUAGGUAUUUACUGCAUCUACUCUUAUUAGUAGUUAAACCGUGCACAUUGAGGAAACAAGGCCCACAAAUUUGGAGAGGGGUCCAACUGCAGACCUCCACCAUCAGGCCACCUCCUCUUUCGGGACAGUCAGUUUUCACAUCCCCACAUUCUCGGUUGUUUCGCUACUCUACAUAUCGUGACAUCGGUAGGUGACUGGUUAGCAUUAUCCAAAACAUUGAGUAAAGUCUGAAUGCACAUAUUCGCCGUCAAAAUAGCUACCACUGUCAAUAUUGUACAUCUAAAUCACACAAAUUGGAGAACGUUACACGUGUGUAAGUAUUGUUCUACAUAGGUAACGUUGGACUACGCCAACGGUGGCUAGCGUUAGCUCCUGAAGUAGCAGGAUUAGCUUUAUUUUUUUUAUUUAUUUUUUUUCCCUUUGGAUAACCUAAGCUACUCAUAGACUGUAUGAAGCUGCUGUAUGUUCGUUUUUUGUAAAAAAAAAUUUGUCAUAUAGUAGUCCAGUUCCCACAGUUGUCCGUUUUUUCCUAUUAAAUUCAGCAGUAAAAUGCCACAGUAUAUUAGGCUACUCUUCAAAGGGAAAUUUAUGAAGUGUGUGUGUGUGUGUGUGUGUUUUAAGAAGACUGGAAGAGAGGCUAAGUUACACUCUUAAUGAACGACUAUGUUUUUCUGUGAAUUGAUGUGGCUAGCUGUAUGGACGGAGUUAAUGUCCUAUUGUGACAGAAUAAAUAAAUAGUGCCUGUGUAAAAAUAAAAAGAUACUGUGACUAGUUGAAGGAUUGACGCAUAUACAGUGGGCUUUGUUGCUACAUUGGCACCUUAAGUGCUAAGUAGAAUAGGCUCAAAUUAAUAGGCUAUAUUUAAGGAAUUAGCCUACUAGUUUCCCGUUACAAUGUUGACUAAAUAAUUAAAUAUAAAUCAACGGCAAAAGCCCUCCCCUUAUGUCUACGUGAUUGAACUUUAUAAUUUUUCAAUGAGUUUCCUGUCAAAUCGCACGCUUUUAUUUGGUAGUUUUUUCAUGUAUUUCCUGUCCUGACCGGCCUGACAGUGGAGGUCUGUUGGACCCUCUUGCAAAUUUGCCAUUAUAGGGUUCCCUAGUAGACACGAACCGUGUGUGUGUGUGUGUGUGUGUGUGUGUUACAUAUUACCACAAUAUAAAACUAGUGUGUUUAGUCCUGCUUUCAAAAUGUUAUUAAAGUCAAGGUACACACUUAUUAGCUAAGUGGAACUACUUUACAUAAUGUUGACAGUUAAAUCUAAAUGCUUCAUGUUGUAAAAUAUUAAUCUUCUGAGUAACCUAUUAAUACAUGUCUUUUUUUUUUAUUUGAAUGUAAACCUGUGUUUUUCUUGCCAAUAAAGCUUCACUGAAUUAA